CUNCAGGUGAUCCUGCCGGACCUGACUGCUAUCGGAUUGGUACUAAGCCAUGCGAGUCAUUGUAGCAAUACAAGGCGGACGGCUCAGUAACACGUAGUCAACCUAACUCGUGGACGUGGAUAACCUCGGGAAACUGAGAAUAAACCACGAUAGAUCAUAGUGCCUGGAAUGGCUUAUGGUCCAAACAGUUUACUGCCAUGGGAUGGGACUGCGGCCUAUCAGCUUGUUGGUGAGGUAAUGGCCCACCAAGGCGAUUACAGGUACGGGCUCUGAGAGGAGAAGCCCGGAGAUGGGUACUGAGACACGGACCCAGGCCCUAUGGGGCGCAGCAGGCGAGAAACCUUAGCAAUGUGCGAAAGCACGACUGGGUCAGUCCGAGUGAUUCCUGAUAAAGGAGUCUUUUGCUUGUCCUAAAAGCACAGGUGAAUAAGGGGUGGGCAAGUCUGGUGUCAGCCGCCGCGGUAAUACCAGCACCUCGAGUGGUCAGGACGUUUAUUGGGCCUAAAGCAUCCGUAGCCGGCUUUGCAAGUCUUCGGUUAAAUCCACCUGCUCAACAGAUGGGCUGCUGGAGAUACUACAAAGCUAGGGAGUGGGAGAGGCAGACGGUAUUCAGUGGGUAGGGGUAAAAUCCUCUGAUCCAUUGAGGACCACCAGUGGCGAAGGCGGUCUGCCAGAACACGUUCGACGGUGAGGGAUGAAAGCUGGGGGAGCAAACCGGAUUAGAUACCCGGGUAGUCCCAGCUGUAAACGAUGCAAACUCGGUGAUGCAUUGGCUUAUGGCCAAUGCAGUGCCGCAGGGAAGCCGUUAAGUUUGCCGCCUGGGAAGUACGGACGCAAGUCUGAAACUUAAAGGAAUUGGCGGGGGAGCA
rnacentral:rRNA from 1 species